rnacentral:rRNA from 1 species
UACGAAGGGUGCAAGCGUUACUCGGAAUUACUGGGCGUAAAGCGUGCGUAGGUGGUUUGUUAAGUCUGAUGUGAAAGCCCUGGGCUCAACCUGGGAAUUGCAUUGGAUACUGGCAGGCUAGAGUGCGGUAGAGGAUGGCGGAAUUCCCGGUGUAGCAGUGAAAUGCGUAGAGAUCGGGAGGAACAUCAGUUGCGAAGGCGGCUCUCUGGACCAGCACUGACACUGAGGCACGAAAGCGUGGGGAGCAAACAGG